UAAAGUACUUCACAAAUAAAGGGAAAUAACAAAUGUAUCCAGCAUGGCAACUCUGUACCAUACUGUCCCGUGUAGGAGGAAAAAGUCAUCAAGAUGAUUAGAGUGUUACAGCCUGUAACACUUCCUUCAAAGAGCAGGUUCGUUUGCUUGCUUGUUUUUCAAGAAGAGUCAAUGGUACAAAUCGGCUUCAGAAUCCUUGUUGCUCAAGGAAGGGUUUAUUCAAGAACUCUGUACAUUGUUUAUAAGUGAACAACUCUCUUUUUUAUGCAAACUUAAGUUAAUCCAAACUGUCUUGUUUUGUAUGGUGUCACGUCAAUACAUCUACCUAAUUGUAAAAAUGGCAUGAGAACAUAAGUUGGAAGCUUCUAUUGGGAUCCCACAUAGAGGUUUGAGCAGUCUCUUAUUUCCAGAUAAAGUUAAUAUAUUCGAGGGACCAUAUCCCAGGGUAACUAUAGUGGGGGCGAAGGGGGCAGUGAGAAUUCGAGAACCCGACAAUCACGAUGUUAAAAAGAACAAGAGUCCACAAAUAUUUCCUCAUAAAUCUAGAACUAAAUCUCAAGAGUUGGCCAUUCGCUUGACCGCUCCUACUCAGAAAGGAAAAGAAAAGCUUCUAGAAAGAAGACGCAACUCUCGACAUAGGGGUGAGAGUUAAAAAGCAAGUCACAUGAGUCUGACCAGUGGGUCCGAAGGAAAUUCGGAAGGCAAGGAAAGAGGGAAUGAGGAGACAGGAAAAGGUGAAGGAGGCAGGCAAAGGCCAUCCGGUGUGAACCUGGAUGCCCAGCUCUUUAUGCACCCGGGGCAGCGUGGAGCCUCCUUCGCCUCGCGCGCAUCUGGGGGUCGCGCCGCAGCGCAAGCCCCUCACGGGCCCGGCACCAGGGGGCAGGGGAACCGUAGGAGUUUGGAAGAGGAAAAACUGACAAGGAAGAGGGCAAGGAAGGCUUGCAAGGACGAUUAGAGAGCUUCUCUUAGCCUGGAGAACAGGAAGGCGGAAUGUGUUGCCUCGUAACCGGAGGUGGGGAAGAAAGAAGAGAAUGCAGACGUCUCCGACAGCCUUUUCACUGGAAGAUUGUUGUCGACCUGACACUACUCAGAUUUGUUGGCUGUGGUUAUCUGUCAUUUUUCAUUUGCCACAAAGACAGAUUCCUGCGAACCGUGUUCAGAAAUGUCCCGAGGGCCUUCUAGCUGGGGGAAGAGAGUAUGUGGCGUUAAGAGAUGGGGUUUGGAAGUUCAAGCUUGUGUUCCUAGAGACCUAGAUCUGGGAGGUAGAGCCGCAGGUGUUAGAAUGGAGACCUGAGGGUCCUCAUGGGUUUGGGAUCCCGGAACCGUGAUCGCAACUCCCUUUUCCUGGUGUCAUUUGAUACUUCAUAACCCCUCCUCUCCCGAAACAGGUGUCCUCCACCUAGUGGUGGCGAAAGAUUUCCACGCGUUACCACCACCAGAUUUGGAAAUGUCCCAGAUCUUUACUAGUCCAGGGGCUAGACCAGGUAAUUUCUAGAAGGUGCAUACAGAGCAUAUGGCAUAGUGAGCCUGUGUACAGAGGAAGCUGACCUUGUACUGGGGGAAACUGUGAAGUUAAAUAGUAACUGCAUAUUACGUCUGUACAGCAUUUGAAAAGCUAUGAUGAAACAGAAGGUCGUUAGUGUUACUUAUAAGUGAUGGCACUAUAAACAGUCUGGAAAUUUUCUUUACAUCUUGCAUCUCAGCAUAUGACCUUCUAAUUAACCUCUGAAUGCAUUUGGCACACUCAAAGCUGCAGAGUGAGAAAGACCCUAGGGUUUGGAGCCUGAUAGUAAUGCUAAUAUAGCAUCUCCAAGAAAUUGAAUAGUAUUAGCAUGUCUAGCUGUAGGAAAUAAUUUCCACCGUGAUCAGAGUAUAAGGUAUUCUGGAGUUCCCGUCAUGGCUCAGUGGUUAACGAACCCGCCUAGUAUCCAUGAUGGGCUGGAUCCCUGGCCUUG
ensembl:lncRNA